rnacentral:rRNA from 1 species
GACGAACGCUGGCGGCGUGCUUAACACAUGCAAGUCGAACGGAAACGCGCUGCUCUUGUACCCUGCUCGCGUGCCGCGCACGUGUGUAACACGUGUGUAACCUUCCCUUGACUUUGGGAUAACUUCCGCGAACUGGUACUAAUUCCCGCUAGGAGCUCCUGCUGCAUAGUGUUUGUUGGAAUGUUUCGGCGGUUGGGGAUGGACUCGCGGCUUAUCAGCUUGUUGGUGUGGUAGUGGCCUACCAAGGCUUGGACGGGUAGCCGGCCUGAGCGGGGUACCGGACACAUUGGGACUGAGAUACGGCCCAGACUCCUAUGGGAGGCAGCAGAGGAGAAUAUUGCACAAUGGGAGGAAGCAUGAUGCAGCAACGCAGCGUGCGGGAUAAGGGCAUUCGGGUUGUAAACCGCUCUCGCCUGAGACGAAGCGAGAGUGACGGUAAUGGGUAAAGAAGCACCGGCUAACUACGUG